UACAGAGGGGGCAAGCGUUGUUCGGAAUUACUGGGCGUAAAGGGCGCGUAGGCGGCCUUCUAAGUCGAACGUGAAAUCCCCGGGCUCAACCCGGGAACUGCGUCCGAUACUGGGAGGCUUGAAUCCGGGAGAGGGACGUGGAAUUCCAGGUGUAGCGGUGAAAUGCGUAGAUAUCUGGAGGAACACCGGUGGCGAAGGCGGCAUCCUGGACCGGUAUUGACGCUGAGGCGCGAAAGCCAGGGGAGCAAACGGG
rnacentral:rRNA from 1 species